CUGCACCCGGCGGCUUACCCUGUCAUGGACCGAGGGCUGACACCUCAGUCGGCCAGGUUAAUCACCGGUUCGGUGAACUUGUUAGAUUUUAGUAACAGGUUUGUGCGAACCGGUGAGAACCAGCUCAAUCCCACCACUGGUCUUAGUGUAGAGAAUAUCUAUGAAUUCAGGGAUAAAGUUGUAUGGAGUGACUGUGUGUGAACACUGGAGGAUAUUUGAGCAAUGCGUGUGUGAC